rnacentral:rRNA from 1 species
UACGUAGGGGGCAAGCGUUAUCCGGAAUUACUGGGUGUAAAGGGUGAGUAGGUUGGCUUGUAAGUCAUAUGUGAAAUACCGAUGCUUAACAUCGGGGCUGCAUAAGAAACUACAAGCCUAGAGUACAGGAGAGGUAAGCGGAAUUUCUAGUGUAGCGGUGAAAUGCGUAGAUAUUAGGAAGAACACCAGUGGCGAAGGCGGCUUACUGGACUGAAACUGACACUGAGUCACGAAAGCGUGGGGAGCAAACAGG